CUCUCUCAUGAGUUAUAUUUUGCUUCUACUUUACAAUUUCAUUUUCACAGCUUCUCAGAUCUCAGCUUUCCUGGCAAUCACAUUUCACUAAUGAGUCUUGCGGUCGAGUAGGACACAGAACGAUAAAGUAUCAGGUUACUUAAAUCCGUUGUUCCUGGAACCUCCGUCAUCGAUCCGGCUUAACAUCGGGAAAACUGCGGGUGUGGAUUCUUUGAC
ensembl:ncRNA H05G16.3 ncRNA